AUCUAGGCAAAAGCUUCACUUCCCAAUGACAAAAGGUCAAGUCAGGGAACUGAGGGUGCUUCUCGGCCUCACAAUGACUCAUCUAUCUCCUGAGGACCCUGGGAACAGCCAGAGGAUGCAGGCCGCCAGGCUCUGUGAGGGGCUGCAGGAUCCAGGCACUGGGUAGGAUCUCCCCUCGGACCAUCUCCCUGCUGGGUCUCGGCAUGGACGCAUCAUACACAGACUGAGCUGCCAUGAUAGACAGUUGCCCCUGGAAACAGAGCAAUAGUUGGCUACAGGAAACCUCACAUCAGCCAUAGAGAUGUCCACGAUGUGCUUGGCCAAAUCCUUGUAGGAGGAGGA